CGUGAGUUUGUCAUCAUUUUUUAUCUAGACAUAGGAUAGGUUGUGUGAAAAUAUUACUGAUGUUUAACGUUAAAAAUGGACCAAAAGAUUAAUGCUAAACAACAUUUGACAUGUUUGAACGAACAUAAAUAGAUUAUUUACUAGGUUUUUUUAGCUUUUCGGCGUGAUUUUACCAGCCCCACACCACGUUUUGUGGGAGCAUAAUGAACGCUAAGUACUUGGUGUUAUUUGGACAUAAAUUAUGAACUUUGUCAAAAGAAACCACAUUUGUUCCGGACCUGGAAUGCCUUCCGGACCUGGGAUCCUGCCUUCUGAUGGAGAUAAUCAAAGGCGGGAGAAUCUCAUUUUAUCCGGAACUUCAGCCCUGCGCUUGGAGAGAGCCCUAGGACGCGCUACCAACAGCAGGCUAAUGGAACGUGAAGUAUGGACUUUUUCGACCGAAAAUACAUCUGUUGUGGACCUGGGAUGCUUUCUGAUGAAGACAACUAAAGAGGACCUGAGCCCUAGGACCAUGCCUCAGGACUACCUGGCCUGAUGAUUCCUGGCUGUGCCCGUCCCCAGUCCACCUGGUCGUGCUGCUGAUCCAGUUUCUGCUGUUCUGCCUGCGGCUACGGAACCCUGACAUGUUUUCCCGCCUUUCUAGGGAGUUUUUCCUAGCCGUUGUGCUUCUGCGAGUUGAAUUGCUUGUUCUUUGGGGUCUUAAGCUGGGUAUCUGAAAAGCACUUUGUGAGAACCUCUGAUGUAAAAAGGGCUUUCUAAAAAUACAUUUUGUUGAUUGAAAUGUGAUACCGCUACUGGUUGAAAACUGAACUACUAAAACCAUAUAUCAGCAAAAGUACAACAUAGUCAGAGAAACAGAAUUAGGGUAAGUGUUAAAUGUUGGAGGGCUGCUACAGUGAAUGUACCGUAUUGCAGUUUUCUACUCAGACUAUAAACAGACCAUGAACCCAACCAGAUCAAUGUUCUACACUGUAGAAUAGAAUACCAGUAACUGUUAUCUGACAGUAGACAGUGUCCUGGUCAUUUUGUGUGCUGUUGUUUCACUUAAAAGCAUUUAUAGAUUUAUUUUUACAUCAUGAUCACAUAGGCCUUUGUAAUAUGUACAUAUUCGUGUUGAUUGAGUGUUGAUUUAACAGUUGAACCUGUAAAGCUUAAGAUGGAAGUAUACAAUAAAUCCCUUUGGUAAAUAUUGGAUUUUUAUAGCCUAAGAAUGCAAUUAUUCUUUUC
rnacentral:lncRNA from 1 species